rnacentral:rRNA from 1 species
AGUGAACGCUGGCGGUAGGCCUAACACAUGCAAGUCGAACGGCAGCACAGAGGAGCUUGCUCCUUGGGUGGCGAGUGGCGGACGGGUGAGGAAUACAUCGGAAUCUACUCUGUCGUGGGGGAUAACGUAGGGAAACUUACGCUAAUACCGCAUACGACCUACGGGUGAAAGCAGGGGACCUUCGGGCCUUGCGCGAUUGAAUGAGCCGAUGUCGGAUUAGCUAGUUGGCGGGGUAAAGGCCCACCAAGGCGACGAUCCGUAGCUGGUUUGAGAGGAGGAUCAGCCACACUGGAACUGAGGCACGGUCCAGACUCCUGCGGGAGGCAGCAGUGGGGAAUAUUGGACAAUGGGCGCAAGCCUGAUCCAGCCAUACCGCGUGGGUGAAGAAGGCCCUCGGGUUGUAAAGCCCUUUUGUUGGGAAAGAAAUCCAGCUGGCUAAUACCCGGUUGGGAUGACGGUACCCAAAGAAUAAGCACCGGCUAACUUCGUGCCAGCAGCCGCCGCGG